rnacentral:rRNA from 1 species
UACGUAGGUGGCAAGCGUUGUCCGGAAUUAUUGGGCGUAAAGCGCGCGCAGGCGGCCUCUUAAGUCUGAUGUGAAAGCCCCCGGCUCAACCGGGGAGGGCCAUUGGAAACUGGGAGGCUUGAGUAUAGGAGAGAAGAGUGGAAUUCCACGUGUAGCGGUGAAAUGCGUAGAGAUGUGGAGGAACACCAGUGGCGAAGGCGACUCUUUGGCCUAUAACUGACGCUGAGGCGACGAAAGCUAGGGUAGCAAACGGG